ensembl:lncRNA
AUUAAAUUGUUACAAUGAUACUUCUGAAGAGAAGAAUGAGAGAUGAAACUUUCUUUUACUUCAUAUACAUUUGUAUUGCUUGACUAUUUUAGAGUAUAUUUUAGAAUGUUAAAUAUCUCAUACCACAAACCUUCCUGGAUUUUUGUUUGUUUGUUGAGACAGAGUCUGGCUACAUAGUCCAGUCUGACCUUGAACUCACUAUGUAUUGAAGGCUGGCCUUGAACUUGGGAUAGUCCUGCCUCAGCCUCCCAAGUAUUGGGAUUACAGGAAUGCACCACCAUGCCCAGCCCUUCUUAGAUAUUGCAGAUUAGAUUCUGAUUUCACUACUCUUGGAUACAUACCUAGAAGUGGGAUUGCUGGAUCAUAUGCCUCCUGGCUACUAUGGGUUGAGCAGCUUUCCUCUGUGUGCCCUUCUGCCAUGCCAGUUCUGCAAGUUGGAGCUUGCUAACUAUGAACUGAAUCCUCUAAAAUUGUGAACCAAAUAAACUUCUCUUCCUUAAGUUGUGUGUGUUCAAUAUUUUGUUCCAACAAUGAGAAAGUGACCAAUACAGGGCUUUUUAUAUAUUAACUUCUCUUAAUCAUUCUCUUUCAUUUAUUAUGACUUUAAAAUUUUUAUUUUAUUUUUAAACAUAAAUUGUUAAUGUUAUGCUUUUAUGGCUUAAAGUGAUUUUUCCUUACAAAAAUUUGUAUUAGUUUUGAGUUUUUCACAUUUUGUGACACACAUAUUACCUUGACUCUCAACAUCUUUUUUUUCCCCCAGUACCAGGAAUCAAACUCAGGACCUUGCAUUUGCCAGGCAGACAUGGUGCCACUGAGCUAAAUCCCCAGCCCACUCAACG